UACGUAGGCAGCAAGCGUUGUUCGGAAUUACUGGGCGUAAAGAGUGUGUAGGCGGUGCUCCAAGUCUGGUGUGAAAUCUCCCGGCUUAACUGGGAGGGUGCAUUAGAAACUGGAAUGCUAGAGGAUGGGAGAGGUAAGCGGAAUUCCGAGUGUAGAGGUGAAAUUCGUAGAUAUUCGGAAGAACACCAGUGGCGAAGGCGACUCACUGGACACGUAUUGACGCUGAGGUGCGAAAGCGUGGGGAGCAAACAGG
rnacentral:rRNA from 1 species